rnacentral:rRNA from 1 species
UGCCAGCCGCCGCGGUAAUACUGAAGGUGCAAGCGUUAAUCGGAAUUACUGGGCGUAAAGCGCGCGUAGGCGGUUUGUUAAGUCAGAUGUGAAAGCCCUGGGCUCAACCUGGGAAUUGCAUUUGAUACUGGCAGACUAGAGUAUGGUAGAGGGAAGUGGAAUUUCCGGUGUAGCGGUGAAAUGCGUAGAUAUCGGAAGGAACACCAGUGGCGAAGGCGACUUCCUGGGCCAAUACUGACGCUGAGGUGCGAAAGCGUGGGGAGCAAACAGGAUUAGAUA